rnacentral:tRNA from 1 species
GGAAAGGUGCAGGAGUGGUUUAACUGGCACGCCUGGAAAGCGUGUGUACUCGCAAGGGUACCGAGGGUUCGAAUCCCUCCCUUUCCG